rnacentral:rRNA from 1 species
CAGCAGCCGCGGUAAUACGUAGGUCCCGAGCGUUGUCCGGAUUUAUUGGGCGUAAAGCGAGCGCAGGCGGUUUGAUAAGUCUGAAGUUAAAGGCUGUGGCUCAACCAUAGUUCGCUUUGGAAACUGUCAAACUUGAGUGCAGAAGGGGAGAGUGGAAUUCCAUGUGUAGCGGUGAAAUGCGUAGAUAUAUGGAGGAACACCGGUGGCGAAAGCGGCUCUCUGGUCUGUAACUGACGCUGAGGCUCGAAAGCGUGGGGAGCGAACAGGAUUAGAUACCCGCGUAGUCCCUGUCUCUUAUACA